GUGUGCUUGUGUGUGUCUGUGUAAAGACAUUAGAAACAUACCAGCACUGAGUCCUGUGAUUGAACAGGAGGAACGUAUCACCCAAGGCCUCUAUUCCAAACCUACUAGGAUACAGAAUGAAGUAGGCCAGGAACCUUAUGAAAGGCCCUAUUAAAAAAAAAAAAUAGGGAUGAAAUCACAGACUGAGGAAUAUACAAGGAGAGCUUGACAAAAGAAUCAGGAGAAAUGUCAGAGUCAGCAUGUACUUUGCUGCAACAACAUCACAUAGGGUUCAUUUUAACCAAUGCCACUUCCCUGCAGGCUUUUGUGCUCUGAGAUGGAGAACAGGAUCGGGGCAUUCCAAUUAUCUAGAUAUGCUUUGACUUACUUUCCUACUUACACCAGCCAUUGAUGAAUCUAAAUCCAAAUGAAGAAGAUUCAAAUUCUAGAAUCAUUUAGCAGGACAUUUUACCUAGAAAUAGAAGGAAAAAUAUCAUCCCUACGACUUUGUAUGACUUUGUUGUAUCUCCCACAAAUCACAUUGUGGAAUUUUUACUGUAUCGAAAGAUUGUUGAAAUUGAUCUUGAAGGUGGCAUGGAUGGGCUUCACUACCACCCCUGAUGCUAACAGUGCCCUUUAAGAAGCAGCUAUUCAGCCUCCUGGAAAUAGGAUUUUCCUCUUUCUUCCAUGGUAGCAAGUAGAAGAUUUUCUUUCUUCCCUUGAUGGUGUGAUAUGAAGAUAUGGAGCCUGGAACAACUAAACCCAUUAUGCUGCCAAGAGAAGACACCUGGGCCUUGGUGGGUUUGAACCACUGAAUUAAGUCUUCACCAAAAUCAGAACAUCUUCUGGACUUUUAAGUUCCAUGAGUUAAUAAACCCUCUUUAUUGGUUAAGCCUUUUUGGUUCAGGUUUUUUGAGUCAUUUGUUUUCAAGAAUCUUUGCAGAGUCAAAAUAACAUUGUGCCAGUUUCUAGAACUAAGACAGUUAAGACUAUCCUAUGCUUUUAAGAGGCUUCCUUUGUGAUGCAAAUAUGACCUCUGAGCAAGUAAGAGACUGAAGUACUAGAAAAAAAACGUCUGAAUUCAAUUUUUAAAAAGGACAAUUAUAAGAAAGAAAAGGAAGAAACAUUUUGUCAGGGGGCCCGGAUAUAGGAACAGAUAACAAAAGAUUGUUCCACCUGCCUGCCUAGGAGAAACAACAAACCAAAAAGUCAUCUGAAAAUCUGCAACUUUUGAUCUAAAUGCAAAUCAAACCAGUUUCUGUGAAAAGCACUUAAACAUCCAGAAGGCUUGUUGUGCAGAACUGAGAAUUUGGGGAUUGCCCACAGCCUUGAAAAGUACAGAACAUGUUCUUUCCUCCAACAAAUAAUUGGGAACAAGAAGUCUGUCUGGAAUUAAUUCAAUUGGUGUCAAGGGUGAGUUACAAAACCAUCAACAUCUAAGAAAUCAACUGUGUUAUCUUUAUCCUGUGUUUUUAUCCAUAUGAAUAAUUUAAACUAUUAUAAAUAGCAGAUUGAUUGUAUUUUCAGAUCAUAGCUAUAUUUAAUUACAUCUUCUGUCACAUAAAAAAUGGCUAAGAUUUUUAACCUUUCUUUUUCAAGAGUAAAGGCAGCUCCCUGGCAUGACCAGGAAUGGGCCUUUUGUUGAACACAAAAUUGAGAUUUAUGGUGCUGGGUUAUAUAAAGAAAAAGGAAAAUAAAUGUAUUUGUCUUGUGACUAUAAAGAAUGAUUUCUUGUAGAUUUAGCUUUGGACUUCUACAUACAAAAGAGGGAUGUGUGAUGUGGCACAGUAAGACUAAAUCCUAAUGUGUACAAGUCACCUGGAUAUUGUGUUGAAAUGCAGAUGCAGACUUAGGAGAUCUGAGGGAGGGCCUUAGAUCUGCAUUUCCGGUAAGAUCCCCAUUGAUGCUAAUGCAUUUGGGCCUACUGGCCACACUUUAAGAAGCAAGAGUAUAGAAGAAAGAACUAAGGUAUAUAGUAUUCAAGAAGUCUGGCUUUAGUUCCAGUUUCAUCACUAAUUAGCCAUGAGACCUCACCAAUAUCACUUAAAUAUAUUCCUCAUGUAUAAGAUGAUGGGGCUGGACUUAGUCAUCUCAAAAUUCCUGACACAAGAACUGGGAGUGAUGACGUGUGCCUGUAAUUCCAUCUACUCAGGAGGCUGAGGCAGGAGGAUUACUUUCUUUCUUUCUUUUUGAGACUGAGUCUCACUCUUUCGCCCAGGCUGAAGUGCAGUGGUGUGAUCUCGGCUCACUGCAAACUCCACCUCCCCAGUUCAAACAAUUCUCCUGCCCCAGCAUCCUGAAUAGCUGGGACUACAGGUGCCCACCACCACACCUGGC
rnacentral:lncRNA from 10 species